rnacentral:rRNA from 1 species
GACGAACGCUGGCGGCGUGCUUAACACAUGCAAGUCGAACGAGGAGCGAUGGAAGCUUGCUUCUAUCACUCUUAGUGGCGAACGGGUGAGUAACGCGUAAUCAACCUGCCCUUCAGAGGGGGACAACAGUUGGAAACGACUGCUAAUACCGCAUACGAUCUAAUCUCGGCAUCGAGGAUAGAUGAAAGGUGGCCUCUACAUGUAAGCUAUCACUGAAGGAGGGGAUUGCGUCUGAUUAGCUAGUUGGAGGGGUAACGGCCCACCAAGGCGAUGAUCAGUAGCCGGUCUGAGAGGAUGAACGGCCACAUUGGGACUGAGACACGGCCCAGACUCCUACGGGAGGCAGCAGUGGGGAAUCUUCCGCAAUGGACGAAAGUCUGACGGAGCAACGCCGCGUGAGCGAUGACGGCCUUCGGGUUGUAAAGCUCUGUUAAUCGGGACGAAAGGCCUUCUUGCGAAUAGUGAGAAGGAUUGACGGUACCGGAAUAGAAAGCCACGGCUAACUACGUG